rnacentral:tRNA from 1 species
UCCCAUGUGGCUCAGUUGGUAGAGCAUGGUGUUUGCAACGCCAGGGUUUUGGGUUCAAUUCCCACGGGGGAC